AACGAACGCUGGCGGCAUGCCUAACACAUGCAAGUCGAACGAGACCUUCGGGUCUAGUGGCGCACGGGUGCGUAACGCGUGGGAAUCUGCCCUUGGGUUCGGAAUAACACAGAGUAAAUUUGUGCUAAUACCGGAUGAUGACGAAAGUCCAAAGAUUUAUCGCCCAAGGAUGAGCCCGCGUAGGAUUAGCUAGUUGGUGAGGUAAUGGCUCACCAAGGCGACGAUCCUUAGCUGGUCUGAGAGGAUGAUCAGCCACACUGGGACUGAGACACGGCCCAGACUCCUACGGGAGGCAGCAGUGGGGAAUAUUGGACAAUGGGCGAAAGCCUGAUCCAGCAAUGCCGCGUGAGUGAUGAAGGCCUUAGGGUUGUAAAGCUCUUUUACCCGGGAUGAUAAUGACAGUACCGGGAGAAUAAGCUCCGGCUAACUCGUGCCAGCAGCCG
rnacentral:rRNA from 1 species